GAUGAACGCUGGCGGCGUGCCUAAUACAUGCAAGUCGAGCGAACUGAUUAGAAGCUUGCUUCUAUGACGUUAGCGGCGGACGGGUGAGUAACACGUGGGCAACCUGCCUGUAAGACUGGGAUAACUUCGGGAAACCGAAGCUAAUACCGGAUAGGAUCUUCUCCUUCAUGGGAGAUGAUUGAAAGAUGGUUUCGGCUAUCACUUACAGAUGGGCCCGCGGUGCAUUAGCUAGUUGGUGAGGUAACGGCUCACCAAGGCAACGAUGCAUAGCCGACCGGAGAGGGUGAUCGGCCACACUGGGACUGAGACACGGCCCAGACUCCUACGGGAGGCAGCAGUAGGGAAUCUUCCGCAAUGGACGAAAGUCUGACGGAGCAACGCCGCGUGAGUGAUGAAGGCUUUCGGGUCGUAAAACUCUGUUGUUAGCGAAGAACAAGUACGAGAGUAACUGCUCGUACCUUGACGGUACCUAACCAGAAAGCCACGGCUAACUACGUGCCAGCCGCCGCCGUAACAC
rnacentral:rRNA from 1 species